UGAGGCGAGUAGCCUCAGGGGCCCGAGAGAACUCUCCUCCAAGGAACUAGGCAAAUUGACACCGUAACUUCGGAAGAAGGUGUGCCCUCUGUAAGUGAAGGCGUACAGCUGGAGCUGAAGAGGGUUGCAGAGAAUAGGGGGUAGCGACUGUUUACCAAAAACACAGGACUCUGCGAAGGCGAGAAGCCGACGUAUAGGGUCUGACUCCUGCCCGGUGCUGGAAGGUUAAGGGGAUCCGUCAGCGCAAGCGAAGCGGUGAUCCGAAGCCCCAGUAAACGGCGGCCGUAACAAUAACGGUCCUAAGGUAGCGAAAUUCCUUGUCGGGUAAGUUCCGACCUGCACGAAAGGAGUAACGACUUCCCCACUGUCUCGGAGAGGGACUCGGCGAAAUUGAAAUAGCUGUGCCGAUGCAGUUUACCCGCGGAAAGACGGAAAGACCCCGUGAACCUUUACUACAACUUGACAGUGACACUAGGGGUUGGCUGUGUAGCAUAGGUGGGAGCCUUUGAAGCUGGGCCGCUAGGUUCAGUGGAGGCGCAAUGUGAAAUACCACCCUGCUGACUUCUGGUGUCUAACCACGGCCCGUAAUCCGGGUCUGGGACACUGUCUGGUGGGUAGUUUGACUGGGGCGGUCGCCUCCCAAAGAGUAACGGAGGCGCGCGAUGGUUCCCUCAGCCUGAUUGGAAACCAGGCGUCGAGUGCAAUGGCAUAAGGGAGCUUGACUGCAAGAGCGACGGCUCGAGCAGGUGCGAAAGCAGGUCAUAGUGAUCCGGUGGUUCUGAAUGGAAGGGCCAUCGCUCAACGGAUAAAAGGUACUCCGGGGAUAACAGGCUUAUCUCCUCCAAGAGUUCACAUCGACGAGGAGGUUUGGCACCUCGAUGUCGGCUCAUCGCAUCCUGGGGCUGGAGCAGGUCCCAAGGGUUAGGCUGUUCGCCUAUUAAAGCGGUACGCGAGCUGGGUUCAAAACGUCGUGAGACAGUUUGGUCCCUAUCUUCCGUGGGCGUAGGAGGCUUGAGAGGCUCUGACCUUAGUACGAGAGGACCGGGUUGGACACAUCUCUGGUGUACCAGUUGUCACGCCAGUGGCAUCGCUGGGUAGCUAUAUGUGGAUUGGAUAACCGCUGAAAGCAUCUAAGCGGGAAACCGACCUCAAGAAUUGGCCUCCCGGGAGCAAUCCCAUGAAGACCCGUCGUAGACUACGACGUUGAUAGGCCGGGUGUGUAAGUGCAGCAAUGCAUUGAGCUAACCGGUACUAAUUGGUCGUUCGGCUUACC
rnacentral:rRNA from 1 species